AAUCAACGCUGGCGGCGUGCCUCAGACAUGCAAGUCGAACGAUUAAAGCUCUCUUCGGAGAGUGUAUAGAGUGGCGCACGGGUGAGUAACACGUAAGUAAUCUACCUUCGAGUGGGAAUACCGUCCGGAACGGACGCUAAUACCGCAUAAUGCAUUAGCAUCUUAUGAUGCCAUUGUUAAAGAUUUAUCGCUUGAAGAGGAGCUUGCGGCAGAUAGCUAGUUGGUAAGGUAACGGCUUACCAAGGCUACGAUCUGUAACCGGUCUUAGAGGACGGUCGGUCACACUGACACUGAAUAACGGGUCAGACUCCUACGGGAGGCAGCAGUCGGG
rnacentral:rRNA from 1 species